ACAAAUAUAGCUUACUUUAAAGCAUUUUAUUGAAGAUAAAAAUACCUCUUCAUCAUGAA
rnacentral:tRNA from 1 species